rnacentral:rRNA from 1 species
CAGUCGCCACGGGAAUACAGAGGGUGCGAGCGUUAAUCGGAUUUACUGGGCGUAAAGCGUGCGUAGGCGGCUUUUUAAGUCGGAUGUGAAAUCCCUGAGCUUAACUUAGGAAUUGCAUUCGAUACUGGGAAGCUAGAGUAUGGGAGAGGAUGGUAGAAUUCCAGGUGUAGCGGUGAAAUGCGUAGAGAUCUGGAGGAAUACCGAUGGCGAAGGCAGCCAUCUGGCCUAAUACUGACGCUGAGGUACGAAAGCAUGGGGAGCAAACAGGAUUAGAGACCCGUGUAGUCCCUGUCUCUUAUAC